rnacentral:antisense_RNA from 1 species
UUAAAAAGAGAUGAAAAAAGAAAUAAUGGGAAUUGAAUAGAGAAUUAUAAGAUAAAUAAUAAAUAUUACAGUAUGAGUAAGUUCUGAAGAAAAUGUUUAAAUGGUUAUUAGAGGAUUCCAAUAACCCUAAGACCAAUUUCACCAGUUUUGCAAUUAGGACAAAUUUCUCCAGUAAAUUGUGAAAGGUGAUUACUAGAGCAAACUGGGCAUUUGACAAAAUCUUGAGAUUUUGGAUUAAUUUUUGUAAGAGAUGACGAACAAAUAAUGAUGUGGUCAAUAUCUCUGUGUGGGUCGAAGUUAAUAUUAUGUUCGUCUGUGGCUUUUUGGUCACAUGCUGCGAGAAUUUUCUGUGUCUUUUCGACGUCUUCAAUAUUUGGAAUACCCAAGAGCCUUUUAGCAAAGCUUGCUGUUGUUAUAUAGUUCUUAUGUUUCCAUGCAAUACCCAUUGCUCUUCUAAGGACUAAAGAGGUGUGUAAUGGCUGAAGUUUGCAACAUGAAAAGUAUGAAAUCAGUUCUAAAUUCCGGAUUACAAUUUCUGCCUGAUUUUGGUCUUGACAGUUAUUUAAAAGAUCAAUUCUAGCAAGUUCAAGCCUCAUUCCAAUGCAAUACUGACAUAUUAAUUCUGAAAGUUGUUUGAGUUGGUCAAUGUUUUGCGAAUAGAGAGAGUAAUGUUCCACAACCAAGGGAGCAAUGAUUAUUGCUUGUUGAAAAACUUCCAAUGCUGAUUGGAACUUUCCUGAAGUUACCAGCUUCUGUCCAGUUUUCACUAACUCUAUCAAAUUGGAUUCGUUGAAUAAGAUUAUUGGGGAAAUAUGUCCAUUUGGAGAAUUCUCAUUAAAGAGUUUGUACCCUUCUGAAAUUAAGGGUAGAUUAAUGCUAGGUCCUUCAGAGAAGCUUGGCAAGCUAUAAGUAGAACUGAGAGCAAUCAUCUUGAAGAUUUGUUUGAAAGGCUGACAAUCUUUAACUCCCAUCUUCCUUAAAAGAAUUGUGAGCGCAUCUUCGUAUUUUCCUGCCACUAUCAAAUUAAUGAUAGAGUAUCUGGGAGACGUUGCUGGAGCAUUUUCUGGAGCAUAUAAUAUUCUGUCUUGGAAUGAAGGACCUGGGUUCAUCUUUGAUAACCCAUUUGACUCAGGAGCCUCAUUUGUAUACAAAUUUUGGCCUCCGAUUCCCUCAAAAAUGUGGUCUUCGUUCAGUUUUAUAUCAUUUGGGACAUCAAUAUUAUCAAUAUCAUCCCAUUCUGGCUGGGAUGACGAGCCAAAUCCAGUACCUCCAUUUAUCGAAGAUGCAUCUAUCUGACUUAAGCUCUUACCUCCGACGCUUUUAAAAUCAUUUUGAUCGGAUGCUCUAAUAUUUUCUGAUGAUAUCUCUGAGAUAUUAAUUCUUGGCCAGUUAAGUCCCUCAAUGGUGAGUUUUUUUGCUGCCAGAAUUGGAAUACAAGGAGCUGUCAUGCAAGACUUGGAGGAUUCAUUGCAGACUUGAUCUGAAGGUUUACUAGCUUUAAGAAUAUUCAGGAACUCAAAAGCAUCAGCACCAUCCACACUAUAAGCUUCAGUAUACUGUGAAAGGAGCUCUUCUUUUACCUGAUUGUAUCCAUAUGUAUGAGCUAAAGCAAUUGCAAGAGGAAUUUGACCGAAACUUUUUAAAAUGUUAAUUCUCUCUGGAAUAUCGUUCAUAAGAAGGGCAAUAUGGUAUUUUCUUGUCCAAUUCUUUUGCUUCUCGGAUAUUUUACCUAACUUCUCCAUAUAUUCUCUCUGGCCAAUUACAUAAUAAAGUAAGAUCAGUUUCUCAAACUCUUUAGUAACUUGAAGACAUUUUUCAGCGACGUUAAUAAAUCCAUGUAAAAGAGCACUUCUUCCAAGGCAGUCCCACAUUGUUUCCAAUGUUGUUGAGUUCAAAAUGGGAAGAAUAGUCUUAUGGUUACUAUUUCCUUUAAAAUAGGAAUUUGAACUUGAGUUUUCCUUUUCAGCUUCCAAAUUCUGCAAAUCCUUUACUAUAUUGUAAGCUUGCAUAAUUUCACCAAAUUGAACAGCAUAAUAAAACUUCAAAAUUGGGUUCUCCACUAAUUGGAUUGCUACUUCUGGAUAUCCAUGUUGUGUAAGGUAAUUCAAUGUUGAAAGUCCUUUCAAAUUCCCAUCCUUGGUAUAUCUUAAUACUUUUCCGCUUUCUUGGUUUAUAAUGGAAAGUUUAAAUAAUGCCUCAUUCAAAUUCAGUUUUUCAAUUAUUUGGACGCUACCAAACCUGUUUAAAGUAAUUAAUUCCUUCCUUGAGUCUUCAUAAUGUUUAAUAUAAAGAGUAUCAGGGAUUGUUUGAAUUAUUCCUGAUUCAUUGAUAUUUGGAAUUGCAUAUUUAAUAUGACCUUGGGUAGUAUAUAUAAAGAUUGGAAGAGUUUCAUGCCAAAUUCCGGACUUUACUGUAAGAUUUUCGGUAUAAGUUGCAAUUACUUGAAGCUCACUAUUAGUGAAAAUGAUAUUAUACUUGCAUACGAUUGCAAUCACAGACUUAUCUUGGCUCCAUUGAAUUGUUCUGACUCCAGUGGAGGAACCUCCUGUUUCAUUACAAAUUGUAUUAAAUGUCAGACAUUGUUGAAAGUUUUGCCCAAUCUUAUUAUUAAUGACAGCAACCUGGUGGUUUUGAAGAUUAGAAAUGACAAGCUCUGCUACUACUUCUCUCUGUGAGAUGUCAUAUAUAUAAAGAAAAUCAUCUGACUGUAUUAUGAUUUGCUGUUGGUUACUUCCCAUGAAGAGCUUUUGAGCAAUCCAAGGAAGCUCCCAUCUCUUGAGAAUAUCUCCAUCUAAAGAUAUUAUGGAAAUAGUUUGUCCAGAAUUUUCAAGGGCUGCUAGUCUAUUUCUUGAAAGAAAGAUCACAGAAGUAACACCUGGAAGUCCACUCUUGCAUUUUGAGCUACUGGAGGAGCUAUUUUGCCCAGAACUAUUAUUAAUCAGUUGUGAGAGAGAGUUGAUUGUGAUAAUAUCAUAAGUGAAUUGUAAAGCAUUUGAAUUUGUUGAUGUUAUACCAUUAUUUGAAGAGCUGCUACUAUUCAAUCCAUUGAAUGCAUCUCUCUUAUAGUAAACUAGAAAGCAUAGCUCAUUUGGACUGAAUGGAUUAAUAUAAAAGUUACUAGGACAUAGCAUAUUGCUGGAUAUAUUAUUGCUUUUCAUGGGAAGAAUUGAAUGAACAUUCUUACUUUUAACAUCAUACAUGUAAAGAAAUCUAUCAUUAAUGUACCAAAGUUGAUUCAUUGAAGAGCAGAAAUCUGAAGGAAGUCUUUCAGGUUCUAGUUUGAAAAUAAUCAUACCAGAAUCAUGUCCAGCAGCAAAAAGACUAUUAGUUGGAUGACUGACUAUUGUCCAAAAUCGAUCAGAAUCUCUUCUAUAAGUGUGAAUACAAGCUCUUUUUGUAAGAUCCCAGAUUCUAAUAGUUCUAUCUUCACUAUUAGAUAAUAGCCAAUCCUUGUUUGAGUGGAAAAUAACAGAAGAAACGUUGUUAAAAUGUCCUCUUAAAGUAUCAAUUUCCCAUGCUUUAGUAUCAUUGUAUCUCCAAAGCUUAAUCGUUCGAUCAUCUGAAGCUGAAGCUAAUAGUGAAAGAGUUGGAUGGAAUGCAACCCAAUUAACUCCUCUUUCAUGACCUUCAAGAACAAAUUUGCAAAGUACAUCAUUAGCUCCAAACAUAUCAACAUGAGCAGGCAUAGUAUGAGAAGCUCCAAUAGAUGUAGAAUAACUGGAAUAUGAGGAAUGUCCUUUAACCGUCUUUUCUCUAAGCCCAGUAAAAUCCCAAAUUCUAACAGAUUGAUCCAUACUUGCUGAAGCUAGGAUAUCUUGAUGAGGAUGAAAAAUGGAACACAUUACAUAGUGAUUAUGCCCUGUAAUCACAGAUAUACAGGUUCUACUUUGCCAGUUCCAAAGUCUCAUAGUUUGAUCAUCAGAGCAAGAAAGAAUCCAAGGAUAUUCUUUAUGAAAUUCAACUGUUCUGAUAUAAUCUAAAUGUCCUAAGAGUGUAAAUAGACAUUUUCUUUCUUUGUAAUUCCAUACUUUAACUCUAUAGUCAUCUCCUCCUGAAACAAAUAUUGGUUGGCUUUCAUGGAAAUCAAUUCCUCUGACAGGUCCUUCAUGUUCUUCAAAUGUAUCCAGAAGGCUUCCAAUUCUAUAAUCCCAAAAUUGAAUUACACCAUUAUGAAGGCUAACAAGAACCCAAGGUAGUUUUGGAUGAAAGGAUAAACCCUUUGCUCGGGUACUUUUGCUCUCACACUUAAUCAACAUAUUCUUCCCACAUAUAAAAUAGAAAAUAUUAUUAAGAGAAGAACAAAGAUUGAAAAGUUUUUAGUUAAGUUAAUUAAUAAUUAAUUAUUGUUAUUAUUACUAUUACCACUCUGGGAAAAGAAACUCUAUACUGUAUAUUAUUAAAAAAUAAAAAAAGAAAAGAAGGUCCACUUUAAAUGUAUUAUUAAUUCC